rnacentral:lncRNA from 1 species
AUGCACUCCGGAGCCUCUCCAGUUUGCCUGCUCCAGGAUUCCAGUCUCAAUUUCAUACCCACUGGGAGCGGGAAGGGAAGGCGCGCGGCUGGAAAGGAGAGGAAGGAGACUCCAGGCUGGCUGAUGCAUUCAGGCUCUGUGUUGGAAGGAACCAUCAAGGUGUCUGGCUCAACAUCGUAUCUGACCUGUCUCUGAUCAAAUCCACAUCUGCUCACCACAUUCAAUCACAGGUCCUCCACUUCACCAGGGUGCCUGCUCAGUAUCAGAAGACUAAUUCAUUUAAUUUCAUUUAAUUACAUAAUAUAUAAAC